rnacentral:rRNA from 1 species
AACGAACGCUGGCGGCAGGCCUAACACAUGCAAGUCGAACGCGUCCUUCGGGACGAGUGGCAGACGGGUGAGUAACGCGUGGGAACGUACCCUUUGGUUCGGAACAACUCCGGGAAACUGGAGCUAAUACCGGAUAAGCCCUUCGGGGGAAAGAUUUAUCGCCAGAGGAUCGGCCCGCGUUAGAUUAGCGUGUUGGUGAGGUAAUGGCUCACCAAGGCUACGAUCUAUAGCUGGUCUGAGAGGAUGAUCAGCCACACUGGGACUGAGACACGGCCCAGACUCUUACGGGAGGCAGCAGUGGGGAAUCCUGGACAAUGGGCGAAAGCCUUAUCCAGCCAUGCCGCGUGAAUGAUGAAGGCCCUAGGGUUGUAAAAUUCUUUCGACGGGGAAGAUAAUGACGGUACCCGUAGAAGAAGCUCCGGCUAACUUCGUGCCAGCCGCCGCCGUAACAC